UGGCUGCCCGCGAUGCCUAUGCCAUGCCAUGCCCAUGCCCGCACGCUAACACGCCUUGCACUCAGCGCCGCCACGCCCGCCACGCCUCGCCGCGAUCUCACACGCCACGCAUGUCACACUUCACCACUUAACACACUGGACGCGUAUUGUAACAUUCACACUCCACGCCACUCCGCUAACACACCUGACAUGCAUUGUAACGCCCAUACUGCACACCCGACACACUUUCCAACACACCAGAAACUCAAUUCAACACUCACACUUCACACCCAACACACUUCCCAACACUCAACACUUUACCAACACACCAGAAGCUCAUUGUAACACUCACACUUCACACCCAACACACUUCCCAACACUCAACACUUUACCAACACACCUGAAACUCAUUGUAACACUCACACUACACACCCGACACAUUGCAACACUUAACACUUCACACUAACACACCUGAAACUCAUUGUAACACUCACACUACACACCCGACACAUUGCAACACUUCACACUUCAGUAACACAUCAGAGACUCAAUGUAACACCUCCCACUCCACUAAGACAGCUCCCCCUAACACCUGUCACGCAAUACAACACACGCUACACUUGGCACAUCCCACCACUCACACUAAACCCCAGCAGCACAUCCUCCCCCCCCCCCCACCCCACCCCCCUGCAGCACACACAUCUCCCUCCCUCCCUGCCUGCUGCAUAUCCUCCCAGCACCAGACCUAGCACACCAUACCAGUUACAGCUCCACGCACUCACAUAUCACCACCACCACCAUCACCAUCAUACCACCAUACCAACACCACCUGUCACCACGAUAUAUUUUACCGUCAUCACCACAUAUCACCACAUAUCAACACCACUACAUAUGUUACCAUCACUAUAACUCCUCCACAUGACACCACAUCGCGUUCGGGUAGUAGAGCACAUCCCACAUAUUCUAGCACACACCCAGGCACAUACCACUACAUAUUAACACCACACUCCAGUACAUCACCACCACCACCACCACCAAACACAUAGCACAUAAGUAACACCCCUAUCACCACCACCACCACCACCAUCACCAACACAAGCCAGACCUCGCUCGCUGUCCUGCUCUGCUCUAAAUGAAGGACAGCGUGUUGCUUGUCCUGCGCGGCCUGCCUGCCUGCCUAAAUUUCUCUCUCUCUCUCUCUCUUUGGUCUUCCUCUCCUUUCAGUAUUUGUGUGUGUGUGUGUGUGUGUGUGUGUGUGUGUGUGUGUGUGUGUGUGUGUGUGUGUGUGUGUGUGUAAUAAUAAUAAUAAUAAAAAUCGGUUUAUUAAGAGAUAGCAGCUGUUGAGUUGAAAAUAUACACAUUACAAAUACAAUAUUGAAGUACAAUAAAAAGGGGGAAAGUACAAUAUGAAAGAGGUAUCGGGGGUCUGUGGUUGACACUGGGAAAGUUGUGAUCAAAAUGUUUAGGGCAGCCUUAAAGCAGAAGAGAAGCAGAAGAGAGAUUGAGAUUAGGACAGUUUCUUGAGGUCUUGAUAUUAGCUCACUUGACGAGGGGGAAGAGAAGGAGGAGAUGGUCAACUAAACUCGCCUCACAGCAUUGAAGGUUGCGAUCGCUGAAGAGACAUUGAGAUUAGGACAGUUUCUUGAGGUCUUUGAUAGAAGCUCACUUGACGAAGGGGAAGAGAAGGAGGAGAUGGUCAACUAAACUCGCCUCACAGCAUUUAAGGUCGUGAUCGCUGAAGAGACAUUGAGAUUAGGACAGUUUCUUGAGGUCUUUCAUUCUAGCUUACUUGACGAAGGGGGAAAAAGAAGGAAGAGAUGGUCAAUUUAACUCUCGUUGUGAUCGCCAAAGAGCUAGACAUUGAGAUUAGGCCAUUUUCUUGAAGUCUUAUAAAUUAGCUCACUUGACGAGGGGGAAGAGAAGGAGGAGAUGGUCAACUAAACUCGCCUCACAGCAUUGAAGGUCGUGAUCGCUGAAGAGACAUUGAGAUUAGGACAGUUUCUUGAGGUUUUCUAUAUUACCUCAGUUGACGAAGGGAAAAAGGAGGAAGAGAUGGUCAGCUUAACUCUCCUCACUUACAAUAAUGGAGGUCGUGAUCGGCUGAAGAGACAUUUAGGUUAGGACAGUUUCUUAAGGUCUUAUAUUAACUCGCUGCAAGAUGGCGCCACUAUAAACACUCGCCUGCGCCAGAACGGGCUGGGCCGACCAUCAGGCCCCACCUGGAAGAAGCCUUGGGCCGACCAUCAGGCCCCACCGGGAAGAUGCCUACCGGCGCAAUAGGCAACAACGUAAAAAAAAAAAAAUAAAAAAAUAAACUCACUUGACCAAGGGUAAAAGAAUGAAAAGAAGGCCAACUUAACUUUCCACGGCUUAACUGACGAAGGGAAAGAGAAGGAAGAAAAGGCCCAACUUUCUCCUCCACUCUUACAGCUAUUAAGGUCGUAAUCUCCGAGUGGACAUGAAGAUAUUCGGGCACUCUCUUUUACUAUGAAUAUCGUGAGUCUCGUUAGCAGGACAUUCUGACGCUGGCGAAGAACUGAAGUCGUGUCUGUCGUUAUAGCGAGAGGGAGACAUUGUUACCUUUUACCAUGAAUAUCGUGAGUCUCGUUAGCAGGACAUUCUGACGCUGGCGAAGUAGAAUUGAAGUCAUGCACAUUGGGUCCCAAAAUAGUAACCACUCAUACAUCAUGAAUGGGAAACCUCUGCAGGCGAUGCAGGAGGAAAAGGAUCUUGGAGUCACUAUCAGCAGUGACCUGAAACACACCAAGCACUGUAAAAAAGCAUACAACUGGAAAGUAUUCAACACUAUGCUCGAGUUCAUAGCGAGGAACUUCGAGUGUAAAGCACCAGACGUGAUGCUAUCCUUGUAUAAUUCCAUGGUAAGACCGCACCUCGAGUAUGCAGUACAGUUCUGGUCUCCUAAUUACAGAAAGGACAUUGCUUUACUGGAAAGGAUUCAUCGACGCGCCACAAAGAUGAUGCCAACCUUAAGGGCUCAACCGUACGAGGAACGACUCAAGCGACUCAAUCUCUUUACAUUGGAGAAAAGGCGCCUACGAGGGGAUAUGAUUCAAGUCUUCAAGUAUCUAAAAAAGUUCAAUAACGUCGAUUACUCCAAAUUCUUUGAACUGCAAACCAACUCAUGAAUUAUAAAUAACGGUUUACCCAUUCAGUCGAGUCGAUGUAGCACAGACAUUGGAAGGAGUUUCUUUUCAAACCGAGUCAUCCGCCACUGAAACAAUCUUCCCUCAGAAGUAGUAAAUGCGAAUACCAUCAAAUCCUUCAAAUAUAGAAUCGACCGUCACUUCGCUGCGUCGGGAGUAAACUGAAUAUCGAGGUGCUUUCAUCUGCUCCUCAAUAUCGAGGUGCUUUCAUCUGCUCCUCAAUAUCGAGGUGCUUUCAUCUGCUCCUCAAGCCCCAAGUAGCUGUCGAGGAGAUUAAAUCACCAAAGCGGGCGACCUCGUAAUGAGCCAAUAGGCUUUUUGUUGCCUGCAUUUCCAUGUUUCCAUGUUUCCCUCACUCCCUUCAUGUCCCCUCCCAUCUCUUUUAUUUCCCUCUUCUAACAAUCCAUCUCUUCACGUCUAUUCCGUUUCACAUCUAGCAUUCCAUAAUUAUCCCCUCCCGCCUCUCUUCUAUUCCUCCUCAUGCACUCUAUGGCCUCUCCCGCCCCCUAACCAGCAUUCUCUCCCGCCUCAUGCACGCGGCCCGCAAUGUCCCUCACGCAAGAUUAAGUUAAGGGCCCGUGUAAUAAGCUGUUGUUUUCUUUACUUGUUUCUCCCUCAGCAAGACUCUGUAGUGGACGUGGUGACUUACUCCUCCUCUUGACUUUGUUCUUCUUUACUGGUGCUCUUUACUUUCCUCUUUACUUUUUGUGUGUGUUUUUUUCUUCUUCCUAAUCACGUUGUUCUUCAUUACGAGUAGUGGACAUGGUGACUCCUCCUCCUCCUCUUGAUUUUGAUCCUCUUUACUUUCCUCUUUACUUUCUUUCUCUUCCUUCUUGAAAGGGUACCUACAGUUUCCUAGACGAAGAGCUUCAAUGGAGUGACAGUAUUAUAUGAUUCUCAGGAUACAUCGUCAAGGCAUUUCCCAUUUUCCAAUAUUAGGGAGAAUAGAAAAAAUAUUCGCGAGGUUUCUUUGGACUUAGAGGAAGAGUGAGGCAGCUGCUUCCCGUUUUCUUUGACUAGACUGAAGGAAUUAUUUUUAUGGGAGACUUUUUGAAUACUGGGUUAAAUGAGGGAGCAGUUUUAUUCCAGAGAGAGAGAGAGAGAGAGAGAGAGAGAGAGAGAGAGAGAGAGAGAGAGAGAGAGAGAGAGAGAGAGAGAGAGAGAGA